UACGUAGGGGGCUAGCGUUGUCCGGAUUUAUUGGGCGUAAAGAGCUCGUAGGUGGUUCGGUAAGUCGGAUGUGAAAUCUCCAGGCUCAACCUGGAGGGGUCAUUCGAUACUGCCGUGACUAGAGUUCGGUAGAGGAGUGUGGAAUUCCAGGUGUAGCGGUGAAAUGCGUAGAUAUCUGGAGGAACACCGGUGGCGAAGGCGGCAUCCUGGACCGACACUGACGCUGAGGCGCGAAAGCUAGGGUAGCAAACGGG
rnacentral:rRNA from 1 species